UUUAUUUUUAAGACAUGCAACAAAUUUCAUUAAAUUCUCCAGACAUAUAUGUGAGAUAUGAAAGACUAGUCAUGUAUUGUAAAGAUUACAAAAACUGAUAGCUAGAGAGAUUCAAUAAUGGGUAUACUGUUAUAGUUCAUUUAUUCAUUCAUUAAAUCAGAAAACUUUAAUUGAAUGCUUACUCUCUGCCAAGUAUCUUACCAGUCUCUGUCUUUAAACUGUAAAAUUGUGUGAUGAGGACUAUUGUAUGCAAGUGGCCUGGAAGACAGAGUCAUGGGUUAAGCUUAGGGGCUAGUGGAGAGAGAGACAGCUGGGAAAGUUUGGAAAUAGGUCACACUUGAGUGCAACCUUGACAAGGUGAAUAGAAUUUCCCAAAGAAGAGUAAUUUCCCAAAGAAAAGGAAAGGUUGGGGAUCAAUGGGUGUUUUGAGAGGCGCACCUUGUAGAGGCAGAUGUCACUCUCCAGUUCUUAAUGUUGGAACUUUGUCCUGAAGGCCACUGCCACUUCUAAGGAAGGGUGUGGUUUGGAGUGGCUGAAUGGAGUGAUGGAGAACAGCAAAGUCUUUGGUAUCAGACAGGUUUAUUCUGGAGCUUCUGCUUGUUACCUCUGUAACCCUGAGCAAGUUAUUGAAUUCCUCUAAACCUCAGUGUCUUCAUCCUAAAAUAAGAAUAAUAAUACUACCUACCUUGUAGCUGUUCAUAAGAAUUAAAUGAAUUAAAACAUAAAAGUCACCUGGUGCAAUGCCUGGCCCUUAGCAUAAACUUAAUAAAUGCUAUUUUCUACUGAUUUGUCCAUAAAUAAGGACUAGGCACUAUUACUAUCUUCUUCUUCUUCUUCUUCUUUUUUUCAAUUUGAAUUCAAGAGAAGUUCAAUAGCUUGACCUCACAGCUGCUAUGGGGCAGAACCAUCUGUUCUUUGAUUUUCAUCCUCUGCUGCCCCUCACUCAGCACUCUAACAGACCUGGAUUUCCCUGUCAGCCAGGUGUGUCCAGGGAGAGCCCAACAUACCAGCUCCAGGACUUGAAGGAGGAACAAUAAGAGCUUCUGUAUCCAGACCACGUAGAACAAUAACAUAGCUUCUAAAAGUGAUGGCACUUCUGUAAAUACUUGCAAGAGAAUUUUACUAUGUCAAGUGUUUGGGAAAUUUGUGUUUCAGAAUAAUUAAUGAAGUCAGGCCAAGACAACUUCACAGAGCUGAGUAGCUGCCAAGUUCCUUCUGCCUUCUGACUCAUGUUUCCCUGCUUCCACUCCCUGGGCUCUUACUGUGCCCACACCACAUGCUUCUACCAUAGCUUUGGUCAAGUAAAUUUGUAACUGGGUGCUUUGGAGUCUGUCUUAAUCACUAGUCUACAGUCUUCCCUGUGGGGCAAAGAUUUGCAAUCCGAGUUCCAACACAGGGAUAUAAGAAUGCACACUCUCUCUCACCAGAACAGUAAAAUGGCCUCACUUUCUCUAUGUUCUUCAUCCUUUAAGGAGUUGUAAUAGGAAUUCACUCAACUUCUGGGUGAAUGAGAACCCUGUACUGGAGAAUAAGGAAGAGAAACUUAAAUACAGGCUUUCUGUGGAUAAGGAAGUUUUGUACAAUAUUUCUUAGGGAAUGUAGGGAAAUGUUUAUUCAUUUUUAAAUCUGCAGAAAUGAGCAAAAUACCUGGAAAGUAGUUUUAAAGAUAAUCUAUAGUGAGCAUGAGACAUCAUUAGAAAGAAGGUAGCACAUUCACAAAUGGUUAAGAUGCAAAACAGAUUAAGAGUAAGAUAUAGAGAAUCAAUCAGAUGAAAGGUAGGUUAUAUCUUUAACAGUAAAAGGCACAUGAUGCAGCAGCAUUAAAAACCUUUCUGAAGCAAAGAUAGGAUUUCAACAGAAAAGGACUGAGAAGUAUGGCAUCCUUGACAGGAGAACAACAUGAGCAAAAAUGUAGAAGUGGGAAAGUUUCAGACCUGAGACGGGGAAAUUAAUGACUUAGUUUAUCUGUCCAAUGGACACAUUUAGGGAUAUGGUAGUGGAUAACACUGGAAAGUAGUUAAUUGAGUAAAUAGCCUUUAAUGACUAUUAAAGGGCCUAGACUUAGUUUGAUAGAUAGAUGGGAGCUGUUGGGGAUUUUAAAGCAUGUAAAUAGAUAAUAAAAAAACAGCUUUGGAAAAAUUAACCUGGCAGAAUUGGAGACAUGGAAUGGAAAAAAUAGGAGAAAUGAUUGCAGUAAGUGUAGUAAGAGGAAAGAGGGCUGAUGUGGGGUAGUGUGAAGGGGAGACAUCUGAUUCUGGAGAAAAUGCGAAGGUAUGACAUUGGAUUUGGGAAGUGACUGACAUAGAGCAAGGCAGAAAAGGUCACUCAGUCAUGGCAUAUGGGAAAACUUUUAUGCCAUCAUAAAUUACAGAGAAGAUAGCAGGAAUGGUGACUUGGGAAGAAAAAUGAUGGAUCAUGGAUCUUAUUUGGUAUAUUUUGUGUUCCAGAUAUGGUAAGUCAUCUGGAAAUUUAAAUUUAGUCUUCAGAAGAGGCAAUAGUUUAUAAAUGAAGAUUUGAGAGUCAUUCUUAUAGAGUGAUGAUUAAAAUAAUGGAAGUGGAUGAUAUUUGGAAAAGAGAUAUAAAGAGAUAAGAGAUCUAAGGACACCUACAUUCAUGAGGGCAGGGGAAGCAGUGGAACAAGGGACAGAGAUGGGGAAAGGGUCAUCAAAGUGACUGGAGAUGAAGAUAGUACUGUGCCAGGGAGUGAAGGGAAGGGUGAGUCUUGUGACAGCACCAGGGCUGAGUUGAUCAGGAUAGCAAUUAGCUGGGAGACUUGGUAAUCAGAAAAUCACCAAUGACCUUGAGAGGAGUUUCAAUGGAGGGAAGGGGGGCAUUACAUCAUGGAAAAAUGUUAAGCAAGAAGAGUAGGUACAAAACUAGUGUAUGUGAUUGGUUUCAUUAGACUUUCAAAUCAUUUGAUAGCAGGAAUAAAAGAGGGAUAGGAAAGUGAUGAGAAGAGACUUUAUGGACAGAUGAUAAGUAAGGGUUUGUAGAGAAGGUCAUAUAAGCAAAAACUUGAACAUCAACUCAGAGAAAGACUUAAGUUGCAGGAGAAGGAUGAUAACUGAUGGAGGGACCCAGUACCAAAGAGGAAGGGGGAACUUGGACUAAGAACAGUGGUUGGUGGUUCAACCUCAGAUUUAGGAAAUGGGAAAGAGAAGAAAGAGGAAGGAUACACAGAGGUGUUGAGGCAAGAAGAAAGGAAUUUGAAGUUGCUCAAAUGAGAGAGAUUAUAUGUUGGUAAAAUAAGCAAUGAAGUCAUGUGCUAUGAUUGGGAAGCUUGGCAGAACUGGGACCUUGAGGAGAAUGAGAGACUGAAAAAUUUCUAGAAAAUGGCAUGAUUAAUUAAUGAAAGUUGAAUAAAAGCAGAUGUGAGUAUCAGUAGACCGAACAAAGAAUGGAUAUGUGGUGAAUCCAGUCCAGAUUGAUUCAAGGUUUUCUCUAGGAACAUUUGGCAAACCAUUCUCAAAGGCUGCAGCAUGGCAAGGUGGAUCAGGAGGAGCUUGGGGUGUUGAGAUAUCCUGGAGUGGCAGUUAAGUUCAUUUGUGAAAUGGUUAAUUAUAUGCCAAGUCUAACAGAUAUCACAGAAAAGACAUCUGGUGGUAACAAUAAGUGUAAGACACAAUUGUAGGGGUUGCAAGUAUUUGAGAGAGAAGGAAGGGCAGGGAUAACUGUCAGAGAGGAAUUUGGGGGAUUGGGUGUCUUCAGUGUGGAAUCUCUGUAAGCACAUCUGUGUUUGGGGGGCCUGCUAAGUGACUGAGUACAUUGCAAGUAGAAGAUAGCUUGGAGUUCAGGAGAUCAGAAACCAGUAAUUUUUCAAUUUACAUGUUUCUGUACAAAUUUGAAUUAUUUUUGCAACAAGCAAAUAUUACUGCCAGAAUUUUUUUAAACAAUGAAAUCAAAACAAAUAAAGUUAUAACACUCAAAGGAACAAACAGAGAGAGAAAUUUCAGGUUCGCAUCCAGGUUAAUAAAUCAAUUCUUUUCUGAACUCACUAAAUAUUCAGCUGGACUGGAUGGAAAGUUGGUUUAUGUUUGCAGGUCUCUGGAAUUUAAAAGAAAUGAAAAGAACACGUGAGGUUAGCCUAUGAGAAGCAUUUUUAGCAAGAAUCAUGGACAGUUCCACAGGUGAUGGUGGGGAUGAGAAGAGACAUCAACCAUUCUUCAGAAGGGGAAGUCAGUCACUGAGAAAAAAGGGCAAAGUACAGGGAAGUUGGUAGAGAACUUUGAGGAGGAUGCAACAGAGCAACAUAUUGCCUUUUAUGAGCUCCAUAAAGGAAGAGGCAGUUGAGCCAUGUGGACAAAGCAAUGGUCUGAACAUGGCGAUGGGGAGCAGGGGUGAUGAAUUCCUCGCUUCCAGGAGAGCACAAGUAAGUGGAGCAUACAGCCUCCUUGGAAAGGAUUAGAAGAGGUUUAGUAUUGUUGAGGCUGAGGAACGAGUAUGAAAAGACUCCGUUAAUAAAAUGAAAGACUGAAAAGUCAAAAUUGGGGAAAGUUUGUUCAUAAAAAGAGAAAGCAGAGUUGUAGCACAUCCUAGUCCCUCUGUUUCUGGCAUUUAUGAUGCAUAGACGUAACCCAGAUCAAUAAGCCACUGGACAUUGCUGUCAGUCCCCAAAGACCUUGAAGGCCUUGAGAGUGGAAUCAAAUCUCAGGAGGGAGAGGAGAUGCCUCUUGUUUUUAUGCAGGAGGGAAGGGAUGCACCCUCGGCCCUGUUUUCCUGUGUAGCUGAAGUGGAAAUGAGGAGGAAGUAAAGGGUUUAUUCUUUAAAUCUCCUUGCAAAUGACCCACUGCCUUGGCUUUCACCUUCAGGUCAGAGUGAAAAGAGAGAAGGGAAUCAGCACUUUUCUGAGACUGACCAAGUAGGGGAUGAUGUUUUGAAUUUUUAGUAAAUUAACACAAAGACCUUAGAUUUCUUUAAAUUCUACUUUGAAUAAACAGGAAGUUGCUAAAAAAAAAAAAAAACCUCAUGCCAUACAGAAAACAAAGAAAAUGGCUUAAUAAAAGAGAGAACUAAAUUUAGAGCCUAAUUCAUACUCAGCUUAAAUUCAGCAGAAAUUCUAGUGCCAGGUGCAUUGCAAGUAUCACAUUAAGUGUUUGCUAUUAUAUCUGUAACUGAAGUUCAUUGAGCUUAUAACUGUGGAACAUUAUAUAUAUAAUUGCAUUUAAUCCUCACAGCCACCCUAAUAGCUGUGCAUCAUUAUUAUGCUCAUUUUAUUACUUCUGAGGAAACAAGUGUGGAGUGGCAAGGAAAAGUCUGUUGUCACAUAGCUAAUUGGUGGAGAAUCUGGAUUCACACUCAAGUGUGUCUGACUCCAGGAGCAGAGUGCUUAUUACGCUAUCCUACACCACCUGUCUUUGUACGAACAAACUUCAUCUGUCAGAGGAAGAAGUAAAUGUGAGUUGAGAUUAAAUGGUAGUAACAGAAAUUGUGGUUUGAGCUAAGGAAGAACUUCCUGAGUGCUUAAAGGAUAGCGAAAAUCAAAGAUAGCCACGUCUUCUUGGAGGGGUUCAGGCCUCCCCCUUUCCCUGGUACCCUCCUGCUACCCCUCCAUUCCUUCUAUGAAUGUCUUAGCCCUGCAAACGGUAAGCCAGAAGUGCGUGAGAAUUAACACCAUAAGGAGCACAGAAAUACGGCUGAUCAAGAGCUCAGCCCCCUGGCCUCUUGGGUGUGUGUCCAAUGGACCCUGUGUGCUGAAGUUCCCCAGGGAAGUGGAGCUCCAGGUGCCCCAGGGGUGACCUGUUUCAUAACAUAGCCCUUAUCGCCCUCAUUUCCUUCCCUCGCCCAUCCCCCUCCCUAUCUCCAAGAUGACCUGCAAGUCUCAAAGUCUCAUCUUCCUGAAGUCUCAGCUCCCCUGAAGUCUCAGCUUCUCUGUGGCUGGGCUCUGGCCUGCCUCUCUGACCUCAUGUCAGGCCACAAUCGUGUCACUCAGUGCACUCUGGUGACACCAGCUUUUCAAGUUUUCUCCCCAGUUCAGGUAUUCACACCUGCUGUUCUCACUCUGUGGAAUAUUAUUUUUUUUUAUCCUACAUGAGCAGCUUUUUCUAAUCCUUCAUGUCUCUGUUUAAAUGUCACUGAAAAAAUGUGUUCCCCUUGCAGGCUGAGCUCAGUCUUCUGCAUUGCAAUCUAGUCUUGCCAUCUGCACACUUGUCACUGUUGGUUACUGAAGCCUCCCUGCAUGUCUACUGGUAAGAAGUCUGUCCGUACCUGACUGAAGGCUCCUUGUACUUCUGUCUAGAGGUCAGCUCAGUUUCCAAAGUUUGCACUUAAUACUACAUGUUUGUCAAAGAGAAGAAAAAUAAUUUGAGAACAAUGAGGUGGGCUCUGAGGGGUACCAGGUAAAGUGUAAUUGGAAAAUGAGAGAGGUUGGGAAGGGCUUUAUGUGGAACAGCACUCACGUGUGAGGAAUAAGUAAGAUUUACAGAUGAAAAAGAGUAUUUGUCCAGUACCUGCUAUGGGCCUGGCAUGGUGCUGUUUUAACAAUGUGCAUUAUAUAAUGUAAGUUUUACAAACUUGCAAAACUAUUCUAAUUUUAAAAACCAAAACUCUAAGCAUUAAGUAGCUUGCCCAUAGCCACAAAGCUAGCAAGUGAUGGAGCCAUUCUUUGAACCCAGGUCUUUUUCUUUUCUUUAACCAAAGUACAUUCUAUUUUCAGUUCUACCUCAAAAUUCCUAUGUUGAUCAAACAAGCGACCAGGUGCUGAGGGAUGGAUGAAGUGGAGUACUCCACAGUCGCUCCUGGGGAGAAGCAAGCAUCAGACCUGGUAACUGGAGUCAGGGGCAUAGUUUGUGUUGAAUUCCAAGUGAUGAACUGGAAGACCUCUGGGAACAGAAAGCUGUGUGAAAGCUGAGACCAAGUUUGCACCCCUGCAAACAUGGCUAUACACCAUGCUUUGCUCACUUCUUAACAUUGUUUUGAGACUCAAAUACAAAAUCAUAAUUUGAAAGUACCUUAUAAAUUUCAAAGUUCCUUAUAGAUUCAGGUUGUUACACUGGUGUUCUGUCUUUCCAGAUAGCACCUAAAAUCACCCAGUAUGCUCGGAUAAUUAGGAAAUAGCAGUGAAAGAGUUUCUGGGCGCAUGUAAAAUGGUAAGUGAGGAAUGAAAGGACAAUGACAAAUAAUUUAGUU